rnacentral:rRNA from 1 species
GACGAACGCUGGCGGCGUGCCUAACACAUGCAAGUCGAACGAGGUCCAAGUCGUGGCAACACGACGGAAGACCUAGUGGCGAACGGGUGAGUAACACGUGAGGAACCUACCCCGGAGACCGGGAUAACUCUCCGAAAGGAGAGCUAAUACCGGAUGUCCCCAUCGGGCCGCAUGACCUGAUGAGGAAAUGGAUUCCGCUCCGGGCGGGCCUCGCGGCCCAUCAGCUUGUUGGCGAGGUAACGGCUCACCAAGGCAUCGACGGGUAGCUGGUCUGAGAGGACGAUCAGCCACACUGGGACUGAGACACGGCCCAGACUCCUACGGGAGGCAGCAGUGGGGAAUCUUGCGCAAUGGGCGAAAGCCUGACGCAGCAACGCCGCGUGGGGGAUGAAGGCCUUCGGGUUGUAAACCCCUUUCAGUGGGGACGAAAUUGACGGUACCCACAGAAGAAGCCCCGGCUAACUACGUGCCAGCAGCCGCGGUAACACGUAGGGGGCAAGCGUUGUCCGGAUUUAUUGGGCGUAAAGAGCUCGUAGGCGGUUCGCUAAGUCGGGUGUGAAAACUCUGGGCUCAACUCAGAGACGCCACCCGAUACUGGCGUGACUCGAGUCCGGUAGGGGAGCAUGGAAUUCCUGGUGUAGCGGUGAAAUGCGCAGAUAUCAGGAGGAACACCAGUGGCGAAGGCGGUGCUCUGGGCCGGUACUGACGCUGAGGAGCGAAAGCGUGGGUAGCAAACAGGAUUAGAUACCCUGGUAGUCCACGCCGUAAACGUUGGGCACUAGGUGUGGGACCCUUCCAACGGGUUCCGUGCCGCAGCUAACGCAUUAAGUGCCCCGCCUGGGGAGUACGGCCGCAAGGCUA